rnacentral:rRNA from 1 species
UACGGGGGGGGCAAGCGUUGUUCGGAAUUACUGGGCGUAAAGGGCCCGUAGGCGGCCAACUAAGUCGGAUGUGAAAUCCCCGGGCUCAACCUGGGAACUGCAUUUGUGACUGCAUCGCUGGAGUGCGGCAGAGGGGGAUGGAAUUCCGCGUGUAGCAGUGAAAUGCGUAGAUAUGCGGAGGAACACCGAUGGCGAAGGCAAUCCCCUGGGCCCGCACUGACGCUCAUGCACGAAAGCGUGGGGAGCAAACAGG